CAGAAGCACGCACCCGCCGCAUCAUCCGACGUCGCCUCUGAGUUACCUUGGAGCGUUUAGCUGUUUUGAAAUGUUCAUAAUCGGGUUUUACUGAGUAUAAUUGACAUGGUGUCUAAAUAUGAAUAUGAUGUGGCUAAUUACCACCCCGACUCCAGUGGCAUGGACAUAUCAACGAGUGCAUGCGAACAGCUGUCCUGCAGAGUUCACUUCAGUUCAGCGUUGCCCCCAAUAACACUACCAGUGCUGAAUGGCUCACUGCAUCAACGAGCACAUCAAGCCCACCACAAGUUACUGUUUGCAAAAUGAUUUUGUGUUGUUUUCUAUUUAUAGGUAUGCAGUUAUUUAUCUGUUUGUUUGUUGAUAUUUUGCCUGGGUUUGGUAUCUUAAUAAAAGCUGUUAUUAUUGAA